UCACACUUUGCAGAGCUACUCAGAGCUAUACGGGCGCUAUACGGCAGAGCUCUGAGUAGCUCUGCAAAGUGUGA